UACGUAGGUGGCGAAGCGUUGUCCGGAAUUAUUGGGCGUAAAGCGCGCGCAGGCGGUUCUUUAAGUCUGAUGUGAAAGCCCACGGCUCAACCGUGGAGGGUCAUUGGAAACUGGAGAACUUGAGUACAGAAGAGGAAAGCGGAAUUCCACGUGUAGCGGUGAAAUGCGUAGAGAUGUGGAGGAACACCAGUGGCGAAGGCGGCUUUCUGGUCUGUAACUGACGCUGAGGCGCGAAAGCGUGGGGAGCAAACAGG
rnacentral:rRNA from 1 species